CCUACGGGUGGCAGCAGUGGGGAAUAUUGGACAAUGGGCGAAAGCCUGAUCCAGCCAUGCCGCGUGUGUGAAGAAGGCCUUCGGGUUGUAAAGCACUUUCAGUGGGGAAGAAAGCCUUGGGGCUAAUACCCUCGAGGAAGGACAUCACCCACAGAAGAAGCACCGGCUAACUCCGUGCCAGCAGCCGCGGUAAUACGGAGGGUGCGAGCGUUAAUCGGAAUUACUGGGCGUAAAGCGCGCGUAGGCGGUCUGAUAAGCCGGUUGUGAAAGCCCCGGGCUCAACCUGGGAACGGCAUCCGGAACUGGCAGGCUAGAGUGCAGGAGAGGAAGGUAGAAUUCCCGGUGUAGCGGUGAAAUGCGUAGAGAUCGGGAGGAAUACCAGUGGCGAAGGCGGCCUUCUGGCCUGACACUGACGCUGAGGUGCGAAAGCGUGGGUAGCAAACAGGAUUAGAUACCCUAGUAGUC
rnacentral:rRNA from 1 species